rnacentral:lncRNA from 12 species
GAGAAAGGGUUACAAAAGGAACUCCAUCCAGGAUUGCAUCCGAACUAUGCAAAACACGCCCUACAGCAGACAAGAUCGGAUGACAGUCCUUGUUUGGAGUUCUUACACAAUUUUCAAAACAGCAGGCCUUUGUUCUCAGCCCCUCAGUUCCUGCAGGCCUGUGAACUCUUCAUCAGAUGGGAAGGAAGAUGUUUUUGCUCUUUCGGAAAAUGUGAAAAUCUUUCGAAGUUGAGUUUGCUGGUAGUCAGUGUAGAUGCAAACGCCAAUAAAGUAAAAAAUAAGGAGCCUGGAAGAAGAUGUAUAACAUGCCCAAUAACAGGUUUAUGGACAUCUGUAGGUAGGUCUGGGUUUAAAUUCUGGCUUAGCCAUAUAUAAACCAAGUAAUACAUUUAAGCUAUUUGAGCCUUCACUAUCUUGUUUAUAAGUGGAAUAAGAUUAAUUCAUUAGAUGGUGAUUAAAAUGCAUUAGGACAAAUACAGAUUCUUGGAAUAUGGUAAACAUUUAAAAAAUGGCAGUUAUCAUCAUCAUUAUCAUCAUUUGAAAUGUUCACCAAUAAGAUUCUGAAUUGUCUGUUAUUCUAUUUUCACCAAUACUGAAGAUAAUUAAUAUUCAAUUCUAAAGGUACAAAUAUUUAGAGAAUAUAAGUUAAGCAGUAGUUGUAUAAACUCAGGCAAUAAGCUAAGAGAUACUUGAGAUUUGAACAGUAGUUUAAAUAAUUGUGAUUUUGGAAGGGAAAAGAAUAACAGAAAGAAUAUUUGUAUUAGGAUCUACGAGGACUUGAAAAUUGUAAAUGCAGCAAGUAAAUUGACAUUUCAAAGUUAAAAACGAUUCCUUCCUUGAACUAGUGUCAAUUUUUAUGUCCAGAAAACUCACUCUUUAUUAUCUUAUGCUUUUUAGAGAUUUUAGUGACCAAAAAUAAACUGGUCAUUAACUACA